CUUAGGCCCCCCACCCUAUGCUGGUAACUCAGGCGAAAUAGAUCUGCACUUUGAGGGUAACAUUGCUGCAUAGCAAAUGAUUACUCUGUAUGGGGUCCCUUAGAUAAAGACUAGGGGCAAACCUCUCUAAGCUUGGAGCUAGGAGAUCCUUUUGCUUCCUAUUUAGCUGGUCUGCACUCUUCAGCUAGAUAAAGGAAUGCUUCAUUUUCUACUGUUUCCUUUUUGCCCGCUGUGCGAAAGCUCCCCUAAUGUUCACUUGGCUUUGCUUUCCCCUGCCACGGUUUCUUAAUGAGAUUCUUACUCCACCUCACCCAAACUCUGCUUUUGUAAUUUUAGUGCUCUGUGCCCUAAUGUGUGUUGUAAACUGCCUUGAGUCUGUUUUGGAAAAGAAAUGGGAUGUGGAAAAAGUGCUAAUUAUGUGGUGCAGGAAGUCAGACUGCAGAGAAGUGGGUAGCUUCAUAGAGGAGUGCCACCUCCACCCCCCAUGGCUACCACACCAAACCAGGAAAGGCUGCUUGACACCGGAGUGUUUGCUGAAACCACCUCUGGUACCUGCCUUUAUUUCACGGACCACCUGUUGGCUGCCUGCAGGAACUGCCCUCCUGGAAGCCAGAAUGAGGAGUGCAAAGAGCAAGAGAGCUCUGUGCUCAGGAUCAGCCUCAGGUUGGCUACUCUCAUGACAGCAAAAGGACUGCAGCAGUUCCAGACCUCACAUCUACACUCCAUACCAUCUGGAGCUGGAGAGAGACUCUGUAUCCAAGAAUUCCCAGCAGAAGUCACUGUGGACUAAGAUCAUCUCUUGUUCAGUUGCUAAGUCAUGUCUGACUCUGUGACCCCAUGGACUGCAGCACACCAGGCUUCCCUGUCCUUCACUGUCAACUGGAGUUUGCUCAAAUUCAUGUCCAUUGAGUCAGUGAUGCUGUCUAACCAUCUCAUCCUCUGCCACCCUCUUCUCCUUUUGCCUUUAAUCUUUGCCAGCAUCAGGGUCUUUUCCAAUGAGUCAGCUCUUCGCGUUUGCUUAGCUUCUUCACAAAGAUCAUCUGAUCACUUGUGAACUGGCCAUUAGUGGGAGGGGUUAUUUAUUGGCUUAGCUUAGAUCAUGUGCCCUACCAUUAGAACAAGUGCAGGAGGGAGUAGAAUCAGCUUCCCUGAAAUCAUGUGGAACCCCAAUGGAAACUGAGAUUUUUGAGAAGGCAAAGCAAUCUAGGUCCUGGAGAGGUAACAAACAGGCAUCUGACUCAGUUGCUGAGUUGUGUGGCAUAGACAUAGGCUGCAAGAGUUAAGAGAAGGCAGUGAGUGAGGGCUGCAGCAGCCGGAGAAGGGAAGCUUCACGGAGGAGGAGAAGAGACUGAACUAAGACCUGAGAUGAACGAUUUAGGCAAUGGGGAGUAGUGGGCUGGGGGGGCAGUGAAGAGGAGGGAAGGACCUAUUGUAAAGAUGUCAUGAGCAUUUCCACGUGCCAGACUGCAUGCUAACCCCUCUUUGGGCAUUAUCUCAAUUAAUCACCACAACAACCUGCAAGUUUAGUAUCUUCAUUGUCGCCAUUUUACAGGUGAGAAUCUGAAACCCAGAGGACACACGGUAAUUGUUGACGUUGGGCCUUGGACCCAGCCUGUCUGGCUCUGGAACCAUGAUGCUAGUGAGUGAAGAGGGCCGAGGCCACCUGAGGCAUGUGUGCACUAGUGGAGUGGCCUGACCUCAGAGAUCAUCACAGAGGUAGUGGAGUGUGAAGCAAGGCUCCAGAGUUUCAUCUCCCAGCCUGUGUUCAUGCUGUCUCCUCUACCUGGAAUCCCUUCUCCUCAACCCUCUCAAAACCCUACUCCUUCAUGGGUUCUUAAUGCAUUGUAACACCUAGCCCAUGUGAAUUGCAUGAGACUGUGUUUUCACUAGACUUCUGUGAGCUCCUCACAAAAACUGCAUUUCACCCUUAUGCUUGACACAGUGAACUGCCCUUUAUGGUUGCCAUGGUGACCUUCUCUUCUGAGGACUGGAGGGAUAUCAAAGACACAGAUUGUUAGAGCCCUCAGUAUUACCUUAUCUAAUCCUCUCACUUUAUAGGAAAAGAAAUAGGCCAGAGAAGUUGGGACUUUCCCAAGGAACCAGUUGAGUCUAGAACCCAGGAACCUGGGAUUCCAAAAAGAUAUAGCUUGAAGAACAUUAUUAGCUCUGGAGCCGGAUUGAACUCAGAUCCCAGUUUCUCUGUGCCAGGCUGUGUGACCUGGGCAAGUCACUUAACCUCUCUGAGCUUCAUUUCCCUCAGCUGUAUAGUGGGGUUAUAAUGGAGCCUCAUCCCGGGGCUGUUGUGAGAAAUAGUUCUUUUGAGUUUCCAGAACAGAACCUGGCACAUGAUGAUUCUGCAGGAAAUGCAGGCUUCCGUCAUCCAAGUUAUGAUCUGUGAGACACGGUGACACCAGCCCCGCCCAGCAGGGCCUUCAGAAUCCUCCUGUCCACAUCCCAGGCCACACAUCUUCCCUUCAGAACAGCUGAGAGACCAAAAGGAAGUCGCUGUGAUGACUUUGGGGUGGGGGUGGGCCAGAGUCCCCUCCUUUGAGAUACUGGCUUGGGCUCAUAUGACUCCCUUGGAGAUCAGAGCCCCACCUGUUGCUGCCCCGCUAGCUUGAGGCCACAAAGGCCGGGCCCUGAGACUCCCUGCUUCUGCCUCAGGCUGGCACAGGUGUGGAGCUGCAGUGUGGUCCCUCACAUGCUCUGUGCCAGACCAAGAGAGCAGCAGGAAUAACAGAUAGCCCUGGGCAGACCCCCAGAAUGCAAGGCCCUUUGUCUCUGGGGUGGAGGUGCUCCCAGGGCCAGAUGGCACAAUCACAUGACUGGGCCCCCCCAUCCAAAAGAUAUACUAGGUCAUCCCCUUCUGAGAGCUGCCCCCCAACCCCUGUUCCUGCUCAUAUGAGCCCCUGACUCCCCACUUUCUGCAUCUCCCUGGCUGGGGGAUGGUGGACAAGUCACUUUAGUCCUGUGUGCUUCGGCUUUCUCCUCUGUACUAUGGGGACAGUGAUGCCUUCUUCAGAAUUAAACAGAAUCCCAUAUGUGAGAGUGUCCCAUGCUAGGUCUUCACACAGCAGGUGCUCAAUAUAUGUUUCUUCCCUCCUCACUCAGCUGUGCCAUUGUCCGGGCAGCAGGGAUCAGAACCGAGGCAUGAUGCCUUUGAAAGUUCGCCAAGCUCUGACCACAGCUGUCUGAAAUCAUACGUUCUGUUCCCACUGGAUGGACUCCCAACACCUGGGCUUGGUCCUGGUUCUGCCCCUUAUUAGGCAGCUUUUAUCAAUAUGUAUCAUUCACAUUCUAUGAGCCUUGGUUUCCUCAUCUGCAAAAUAAACACAUUUAUUGAUUCAAUAUAUUUACUCUUUGUACUGGGCUCUGCUGCUGCUGCUGCUAAGUCGCUUCAGUCGUGUACUGGGCUCUGGGAACCAAGAAACAAAUGAGAUUGCUUGCCUUCGAGAACCUCCCGGUCUAGUAGAGGAGACAGAUGUAGAAUCAGAGACAUGUGGAGGGAGCAGUAAGAGCACAGCAGGGGGUGACCAGCCUAGCCUAGGUGGAUCUGGGAAGACCUCAGAGGAAGGGACAUCUGAGCCACACCUUGAAAGAUGAGUGGAAAUUUGCCAGGCAGCCGUGGGGGACAGAUCUUGUGUCAAACGUGUUUUAUUAAUUGGGCUGCCUGGCCCUGCUAGCCCACCUUGCUCACAGAGGAAACAAAGACAUGCACUAGAAACUCAUCUCCAGGCCAGGAGCUCCUAGAACAAGGGGCAAGGGAGGCAUAGCCACCUGCAGGGCAAAAUCUAGACUCACCAGCCCGCUACACAGAGGCCCGUUCACCUUCACAUCCCCCUUGUAUUUCACACCCUGACACAAGAGUUCCUGAGAUCAACAUCAACCUGUCUCUCCUCCUUGAGUCCCCUCCCUCUCCACACCUACCUGGCAACCUCCAGUUCAUCUCCUGGAAACAUGAUUGGGCCCACAAGCCACCUGGACACCUUUUUGUUUAUAAAUACAUGGACUCAAAACUACCUCUGCAAAGGACUGAGGAUCCUUCAAAGACAAAAAGUAGGUCUACUAUUUGUGUCCAGCAUAGGAUUGACCCUUUCCAGUGUCCAGCAUAGGAUUGACCCAGGGCUGCAUUUCUCAGUGGAUGGUUCAAAGUCCACUUCUUCAGCCAACAUUGGGCUUCUGCUUCUGGCCUGCUGGCGCUGAGCGAGGUAUAAAGGAUGCAAGAAGCACAGGGUACCGUCCAGGGGGAAACACACCUUAACAGGUAAUUACAGCAUUGGGUGAUAUAGUGGGAAAACAAGUGAAAGCAAUUAUAGGUUUCCCCUGAUAUCUGAAAUUGGGGCUUUCCACUGCAACCUUUCAUAAGCCAAAAUGGCAUAAGGCAAAGAAGCAGUUAUCUCAGGAACAAAAGAACGCACAAAAUAGAGCACAGAUGCUCACAGACACAGUUGAAAGCUAUGGCAGCUUGAUGCUGAGACGCUGAGAGGAGUUCCCGGGGAAGGAGCUUCACCAGGCUGCUCUGACUGCUCUGCUCUGGGUGCCCACUGCCUCUACAGCUGGCUGCAGAACAAUCGCUGAAUGCUGUUUUUGCUUUUUGCUUGUUUUGUAAAAGUGAAAACCCCCUUUGGAUUCCUCUUGGUUAGCAAAAACAGGUACUAAUGUGGGUCUUCUAUAAGCACAAAGUGGCGGAAAGCAAACUUUUGAAAAGCAGGGGAUAUCUGUAACUUUGGGUGCACUGGAGAAGACUUGCAGUAGCCAACAUAAAGCUGGGCCUUGAAAGCAAAGCAGGAGUUUGUUGGGUGGUGAGAGAACAAAAAACGUAUACAAUAGGCACAGAGACAAGAAAAAGGAUAGCCUGCUCCAGCGACAGCAAAGUAUUCCUCAUGGCUGGAGCCUGAGGGGAAUGGCUAGUGCCGGGGGUGGGGGGGG
ensembl:lincRNA